rnacentral:lncRNA from 1 species
UGGAGUAGACUAUUGUCCUUACUUUAUUAGCAAAUCAUUGAAGAUAGAUAUUUGUGAGGGCAUCCCAGCACAGACGGAUCGUGAUGCAGUUCACUCUUCACUUUUUGUUACUUGAUCGUCCUUCCUGCCUGAUCAGCUUGAUGAUGGCGUGAUGCCGACAUGUAACUCGAUGAGUCCCAUGUAUAAUAUAUAUGGCUCAGCGAUGCUAAUCCUCACUACUGUCACAGUACAUAGAACUGUCACAGUACAUAGAAAAGUGGUAGCCUACAAGAGAAAUAAAUACACAUCGUAAUAAAAUGCUACGGCAUACGUCAACAUUGAAACUGCACGGAAACAGAAAUGUUAAGUUACCUCGACCUCCCAAGGAUCUGAAGCUCAUCCUCCCAAGGAUCUAAAGCUCGAAGUUCAGACACACUCCUCUACAGCAAUUGACCAGACUUAUGGUGGUCACCGCCUUGCUCAUCGAUAAUCCAAUCUAUUUUCGUGAAAUUAUUACUAAGCCUGGCAAACACAAACAAAAAUAGACACAACAUCGACGAAUUAGGCGUAAAAUCUAAAAUAUCCAAGGGACACCUUUCAUAGAAUUCAUCUAUUUCCGCUAUAUCUUCAUUAAGGUACCAUUUACAAGCGGACCCACUAGACAAAGUCUCCUCACCUGCAUGAAAUGAGUACCAAACCUGGCGCAGCAAACACCCAAAACAACCAAUACAAAGAAGACAACGCCAAUUCAAAAACUAACCUCGGUACAACUUGACCAAAGUCCCAACAAAUAUCCCACCAACAGCAUGUUCCUGACCAAGCAGAUGAACCGCCUUAGCGUCAAACUCAUUUGCAUGAUUUCCCCGUAGAACAAGCUUCGUCUCCACACCACUGCAAACAUACAAUAAAAACACAUCACCAAUGGCACAUACAAAUAUAAAUAGCCACGUAUAAAAACCAAUAUAAUUAAGUCCAACGAACAAGCAACAUACUUCAAAUCCUUGAGACUGAUGACUCUCCUAGGUGUAUCAACCGAGUUACUCCCUACCCGUAUAUGAGUAACAUCAGACACACCAACUAUCAUUGCUAUAACAUCUGAAAGCACACACAAUCAUUGUAAGAGGGAAAUAAAAUCUAAAAGAAUAGUAAAUAACCUAACAAUCGAUAUCACAUCACCGACCUGUAAAAUAUGCCUGACUUUCUACCCGCGAAGAAAGAUCAUAAAGUGGUGAUAGGUGAAACACAAAUCGAGGAAAUGAUUCAAUGACAGGUUCGACACGAUCCAUCUUCGUCCACGCGGUAAGCUUGAUCAUAUACUUUGCACAAAAAGGCUUGUAGGAAGGCUUCAUAUUGACCACAAGGAACUUACUAAACGAAUACACAUCACCUUCCUCGACGGCACUCCUAACCUUAUCAACAUCACGCCCACCAGCUUCUGCGUACAUAACGUCCCCCUGCACACACCCAAAAGCCAGAU